CAGCAGCCGCGGUAAAACGAAGGGGGCUAGCGUUGCUCGGAAUCACUGGGCGUAAAGGGUGCGUAGGCGGGUCUUUAAGUCAGGGGGGAAAUCCUGGAGCUCAACUCCAGAACUGCCUUUGAUACUGAAGAUCUUGAGUAUGGGAGAGGUGAGUGGAACUGCGAGUGUAGAGGUGAAAUUCGUAGAUAUUCGCAAGAACACCAGUGGCGAAGGCGGCUCACUGGCCCAUAACUGACGCUGAGGCACGAAAGCGUGGGGAGCAAACAGGAUUAGAUACCCGUGUAUCCCUGUCUCUUAUACC
rnacentral:rRNA from 1 species